UACGUAGGGGGCGAGCGUUGUCCGGAUUUACUGGGCGUAAAGCGCGUGUAGGCGGCUUCUUAAGUCGGGUGUGAAAGCCCGGGGCUCAACCCCGGGAUGCCGCCCGAGACUGGGAGGCUUGAGGUCGGAAGAGGGGAGUGGAAUUCCAGGUGUAGCGGUGAAAUGCGUAGAGAUCUGGAGGAACACCCGUGGCGAAGGCGGCUCCCUGGUCCGAUUCUGACGCUGAGACGCGAAAGCGCGGGGAGCGAACGGG
rnacentral:rRNA from 1 species